rnacentral:rRNA from 1 species
AUUGAACGCUGGCGGAAUGCUUUACACAUGCAAGUCGAGCGGCAGCGCGGGGGCAACCCUGGCGGCGAGCGGCGAACGGGUGAGUAACAUAUCGGAACGUACCCUGUCGUGGGGGAUAACUAUCCGAAGGGAUAGCUAAUACCGCAUACGACCUGAGGGUGAAAGCGGGGGACCGGCAAGGCCUCGCGCGAUAGGAGCGGCCGAUAUCGGAUUAGCUAGUUGGUGAGGUAAAGGCUCACCAAGGCGACGAUCCGUAGCGGGUCUGAGAGGACGACCCGCCACACUGGAACUGAGACACGGUCCAGACUCCUACGGGA